rnacentral:misc_RNA from 1 species
AAAGUGCGACAAGUGUCAUGACUUGCAGAUACCCGAGAGCUGACAAAUUUCUGAAUGCAAAUUGCAGCCAAGUUAACCUGGCUAUGCGUUGCAGAGAGUACUUCGCGUAUGCGCGCCAUCCAGGGAUGUAUUUUCGUCCCUGGGCCAUGCCAAGGGGUUCCAAGUGAACUCCUUACGAGUCAGCGAACGAUCGAUACUUGUAUCGAUUGCGUAGCACUCCGUCAAAGUUAGAAAACCAUGAGUUUUCCCGGAAUAUCUGAGAGAAAAGUAUAUCUUCUCUUCUCACCACUCACCUCUGCAAUGCAGGAGAACCCGCUGAACUUAA